ACAACAUUCGAACCGUCGGUCUGUCGAGCAAUUUCACUCGCUCGGUGGAAUAUCUUCAAUUUGUCGU
rnacentral:pre_miRNA from 1 species